UAGAACUAGUGCUCUGAGUGGCUGCCUGCCUGUCUAGUGAGGUCUUCUUUCUUUAAAAGGGUCCUGAGUGCUCAAGAAAAAAACCUCAGGAGUUUUGUUUGUUUUGUUUUCUUCUUUGAAAGGACUCAUGCUCCUGGGAAGAAUUAUUAAGCAAAGACUCUUGCCUGGAUUAUCUUAGUGCACCUUCGAUAGGUUUCACUGCCCUCCGCUGGUCUCCUGCACCUUGUUAUUUCCUGUUACAGUGCACCUUGUGCAGAAGUGUGAAGUCAGCUAAGAGGCUAAGUGUGAUCUUCACUUCACUGAGCUGCAGUGUGGUCAGGUGGAGGGUUAAGGAGGAACCUAAGUCUUAUAGAAUUCCAGCGAGAUACAGAAAGGAACUAAAAUCUUUUGAGCACCUGCAAUACUUUGGGAAAUAUGCCAGUGGAGAAGAAAGGAGAGAUGUGCAUAAGCUCUGAAGAAACUUCCUGGAAGAAUUAUUCAGAGACACAUGCAGGUGAUUUGUAGGUGCUGGGUUUCAGAGACAAGCAAGACACUGUUUCUGUUCUGGAAGAACUCAAACUGAUGGAGGAGACAGAAAAUCCAUCAAUUAUGGAAGACUGGAGACGGAAAAAUGGCAAGGGAAAGGCAUGACAUCUUGCCUUUGGGAAGUAGAGAGGCAGAAGUUUCUUAGAAUAAAACCUUGGUUAACUGGAAUGCAAAUUCCUAGCGCCGGAUCCAGUGCAUCAGUUCUGAUUCGUGUAAGCAGUAAUAACCAGAAGCAGCGGGAUAUAGCAUGGAACUUUAUUGCAGGUAAGAACUAUUAAAACUAUCUUUUAUUUCAGAAAAGCACAGACACCAGAAAGAGUCAAAACCAAAGGGAAUUUCAGUGAAGCCAAAUUGUUCUCUGGCUUAGAAAGAGAAGGCAUAAUGUUUAUUUCCUAAAAAAGCAACAGACUAUAAUGACACAGUAAAAAGAGUAUUUUUUUCACAUAUUUUUCAGUGAACAAGAGGUACAUAUGAUUCU